UGCUGUUUGAGUGAAAAUCAGUGCCAGUAAAAAUGUUGCUGGAACUGUCACAGAAGGCAGACAAAUAGAGUGGGAACACAAUAGAGACAAAU
rfam:Calypte anna contig3734, whole genome shotgun sequence.